AUUGAACGCUGGCGGCAUGCCUUACACAUGCAAGUCGAACGGCAGCACGGGUGCUUGCACCUGGUGGCGAGUGGCGAACGGGUGAGUAAUACAUCGGAACGUACCUUAUCGUGGGGGAUAACGCAGCGAAAGUUGCGCUAAUACCGCAUACGCCCUGAGGGGGAAAGCGGGGGACCGUAAGGCCUCGCGCGAUUAGAGCGGCCGAUGUCUGAUUAGCUUGUUGGUGAGGUAAAAGCUCAACAAGGCGAGGAUCAGUAGCUGGUCUGAGAGGACGAUCAGCCACACUGGGACUGAGACACGGCCCAGACUCCUACGGGAGGCAGCAGUGGGGAAUUUUGGACAAUGGGGGCAACGCUGAUCCAGCAAUGCCGCGUGAGUGAAGAAGGCCUUCGGGUUGUAAAGCUCUUUUGUCAGGGAAGAAACAGCAGCUCUAACACAGUCUGCGAAUGACGGUACCUGAAGAAUAAGCACCGGCUAACUACGUGCCAGCAGCAGCCGUAA
rnacentral:rRNA from 1 species